rnacentral:rRNA from 1 species
GACGAACGCUGGCGGCGUGCUUAACACAUGCAAGUCGAGCGGGUAAGGCCCUUUCGGGGGUACACGAGCGGCGAACGGGUGAGUAACACGUGGGUGACCUGCCCUCAGCUCUGGGAUAAGCCUGGGAAACCGGGUCUAAUACCGGAUAUGACUCCAUGACGCAUGUUGUGGGGUGGAAAGCCUUGUGCGGCUGAGGAUGGGCCCGCGGCCUAUCAGCUUGUUGGUGGGGUGAUGGCCUACCAAGGCGACGACGGGUAGCCGGCCUGAGAGGGCGACCGGCCACACUGGGACUGAGACACGGCCCAGACUCCUACGGGAGGCAGCAGUGGGGAAUCUUGCGCAAUGGGCG